AUGAAUUCACUCGGCGCUUCGCGCCUCGUGAAUUCUUAAAUUACGAAUCCACACUUUCUCGUGUAUUCUCCUUAACAUACAUGUACAUGUACUGUGCUGUAAAUGCAGAAUUUUAAUUGUAGAUUUUCCCAGGACCUGCCUAGGUUUGCAUGUGAGCAUGUACAUUACCUGCCUUAUGCAGACACGCCUACUCCACUGCAGCCGAUUUCACAAAACAGUGUGUAACUUACGCCACGUGUAGGAUUUAAGCAACAAAUUUGUUUGCGCAGAUGCACAAUAACCUUGUGAUCAAUUUCACAAAACUUGGCGUAGCUGCGCAACGUUUCCAAAUAGGAUGAUAACAGAAUUUAUGAUGGCUGUUUGUGCAAGAUUUGAAAAAGUCAUUGAAUCACCUCCGCCUGCCAUUUUGAAAAUAUGGCCCAUGGCGGUUUGUCCGAACUUUGGAAUUGUGUGGCAACUCCUUGAAAAACUGUUGCAAGUAAAGCAGUAAUUCAGUAGCUUCCAAACCAAAGCUGCGAGUGCAAUAACUUGCUGGAUAAUCACAAUUUGUAGGUACAGUAAAUCAUUUUCAGUUGCCUACGUCACACAACUUAAAUCACCUAAAACGAAUGCGCAAGCUACGCCAUAAUUUGUUGUUCAAGUCGCUGAUUUAAAUGCACUAGGAAACUUUUGUUAAAUUGUAAUAACUGAAAUGUUGCGCAGUGUAAUAUCCUGUGCAAGUUGGGCAUUUAAGUGUGGCGCAAGUGGACUUACGACAUUGCUUAAAAGUUUGUGAAAUCGGCUGCAGUUAUGCCAUGAGAAUCAUUGGGUUUAAUGAGUAACUAUGAGGAUGUAUACAUGUAACCAUGAAUUGUACAGUGCAUGAAUUAAUGAAAACUUCAAUUAAACUUAGCAUGGGCGACGGGACAGGCUUCCCCCUUGUCAUAUUGGAUGUCACAGUUUCUAUGAAUUGCUGACGGGCAGAUUGCUACCGCAUCAUCCACCGAGUCACUGAGCAGUACGGUUCUUCGAAGGGCACAUCCAGGUCAAAAAAUCAUAUCGGCAAAAUACUACCGAAAAUGAUUAACUUUAUUACAGUCUAAGUUGACUAUGUUUAAGUGCAGAGAAGUGUUAAACUACUUUUGGAUAAGAAAAAGGUGGACUUUUCUGGAAGACAAUUACUUGAAAAAUAUACGUAAACGCUUGUUCAUAAAAACUAAAUUGAUUUAUACAUGUACAUGGACAAAAAUAGCAUCAUGAGAAGUGAUGAGAUUUUUCGAAAAUAAAUGUUCUUGUGUUUUCCCUAAUCAGAAAAGGAAAACAAAUUGAAAAGAUGAUGGCACAAUGCAAGGAAAAAGUACUGCAAAGUUAGUCUUUUGACGUUCAAAAAAAGUGACAAGGGUUCUUUUGAUGCCAACAAAAUGUGCAAUUGUGCACAAUUUGAUGAAAUAUAAUCGUGUGAAACAAUCGCACUAAGACAACACCGUACAGUUUGUACUCUGUGUUACUUGCAAUAUGAUGUUGAAAAAGGUUUUAUAUUUACGCUAUUUAAUUAAGCAAUGUCUGCUACCAAACCCUCAAUUUCUUCAAGCAAUUUAUUCACGUUACCUCAUUUGAAGAAGUUUUCGAGAUCGAAAACUUGUACAGUUAAAGAAAAUCACACAAAUUUUAUUGAUUGCCAGUUUGCUAUUCUGUCCUGUUGCAAAUCAAGCAAUAACGACAAAUUAGAGACACAAGAAAGAACCAGCAUUUUAAAUGUCAUUGAACUGACAAUUUAGUGUUCUCAAAAACAGUUUAAGAUAACUGUACUUUAUAUACAACUUGUAGAUACUGAGAACAGCAUAAAGAUUUAUAAGAGUUACACUCUGGAGAUUUUCCCUGUAAAUAGGAUCGAUAUGAUUGACCUAAUAUCAUUCGACACUGUAAAAUAUCCAUGAAAACUUGCAAAACAAAACUGUUUAAUUAUUUUAUUUGAUUGGAUCAAAAGUCAUGAUGCAACUUUGAACAUCUGAAAAUGUCAAGGGGUAAUUAAGGAAAGGUGCGAAGAGUCUCUUAAAUUGUUAUUCUUGACAGUAGAUGGUGGGUUACCGUGGCAACGCUCGUAACCAAAAACCCAAAGUAUCAUCUGCCUUGUAGAAAACUGAACUGAUUGUCAGAGUUUAAUAGGAUCCUUAUUAUGUUGCUCUCUACUUGGGUUAUCCAUGAUUGGUCAACUUGCAAGAUCUAGAGGGCGCUGUGUACACUCAUCAAUAGUUGGUCACAAGUUGGUGUGGGUAGUUGGGUGACUGCUGCUUGUUGGCGUCUGUGGGCGGGGACAUGUGUGUGCGCACCAGGGGGGCCUGUGUGUGGCUGGGCUUUUUUUUUGGCCAGGCAAAAGGUCAAAGUUCAAAGGUCAGGUCAAAGUUCAAGGGUCAGGUCAAAGUUGAAGGGUCAGGUCAAAGGUCAAAUUUUUUUAAAAAUAAAAAUUGACAAGUGUAUAAAAUAAAGUUCAAAUGACAAUAUAAUAUGGCAAGUCUAUGGCUUCUGGUUUAUUUCAUAAAAACAGCGCCCUCAGUGUCACAAAUUUAAACAAUUUUUUGGUUUAAUUUACAAAAGAGCGCCCUCUAUCUUAUUAAACUAAAGGGAUUUUAGGUUUAUUUACUAAAGAGCGCCCUCAAUCUUAAAAAAUGUAUAACUGUUAGUUUCUUAUAUAAGAGCGCCCUCAUUGUUGUAGCCUUCAAGUUGAAAUUAGUGUUAGAACAGAUAAUGCAGCAAAGUUUAACACUUAAAACAGGCACAUGUUCCAAUAGUGGCAGAACUUCAUCCCUGCGUACCUAAAAUGCAGUACUUUUCCCACAAAUACAUGUGUAUUGGCAAUAAAUUAAACAGUUUUGAUAUAAUUUAUAACAUCGACUUUGAUGAAUUUGGAGAUUGUGUUUGUUUUGGGAACUGUGCCUGUUAAUCACAUUAAACUUUGCUGCAAAAAGUCGGCUAAUUAAGACACAUACUUCUAAAAUAAAUACACUCCACAAAAAGACAACAAACAUUUGUUUUAUUCAUUCAAAAAUAAACAAAAUACAUAUAAAGCACAUCAUAGGAAUGAUUCUCUGUAAUUUAUCAGCCAGUAUCGCCACACUUUCUAAAUAUUUGGAUCAGGAUGUACUCACUUUGUAACAAAUAAAACAAUUUGAAUUACUUGGGACUAUAUUAGUCAUAUUUAACAAUUUGCCAAUUUAAAGUUGCUCUACCCAUGCUCUUCAACAGCUAAUUUGUUUUCAGUGAAUUCAAUUUCAAUGUGUUUGUUUUAUUUAAACAGAAAAUGUACCUUUUUCAAUUUCAGACAUUUGAAACUUCUGAAAAUAUGCUUUAAUUUUGGGUGUAACUUUAUCCGUAACAGAAAGAUACCCCUGAAUGAUGUCCGUCUGUCGGGCUGCGAACAAUUGGAAAUUUGUAAAGUAAAAAAGCCAAACUAAACUUUGGGUAUGUUUUUUUCUUGUCCCAUUUAAAGUUGAAUAGCUGUACUGCUAGAAAUAUAGCAAUUUACAAACAAGUUCUAUUUUUAGACUGAAACUCUAAAACAGCAUGGGCAGAGAACUAUUUAAAAAACCUGAUAUUAUAAAUUCUGUGAUUACACAUGUAAUCACAUUCACAUAGUUCGUUUUUUUUUAAGCAGUAAUGGAAAUUACUGCAUAUUACACACAACUUCAAGGAUACUGGCUAAUUUCAGCUAUUUUCCAUCAUAUAGAAUACAACUGACUGAAUCAUUCCUAUGAUGUGCUAAGUACUGUAGUUAUUUGUCUCUAGAACCAAAUAAACCAGGCACAUGUCAACAACAUUAGCCAAAACAAAGAACUUGGUGAAACUGGAAUCUAAAAUUAAAGAACCAACAAAUCAUUUGUGACCAAUUUAUUAUCGGAUUCGAAGGCCAUUUUAUCGACUGGCUAUUUGAAUUUCCAACCUAAGAAGGUUUCACAACAAACCACAAAGACUGAAUUAUUUUGUUUCAACUCAAAAUCGUGCUAAGAAUUGACUUUGCAUUCAGCUUGAAACCAUUUUUAAUAACAUAACUUUUUCUGAACGACUAAGUUCAAAUUGUGAAUUUGUUUUAUAAAACUUUGAGUUCACAUGUGGUUUUGGCAAAAGCCUUUCAUAAGUGCUACAAAUCUUGAGCACAUUUGAGAUGAAACCUUUGUUUUUAUUUAAUAUGAAAUGUAAUUUAAUGGCUUUUCUAAAUCUGACAUGUGCCUGGUUCUAGAAUUUAAUAUUUGAGUUCACAGGGCAAAUCCAUGGCAAAGAGUUUCACCUGUUUGAGAUUGUUGAUGCCAGAUGAAGCACCUUGCAGAAUCCUGCAAUACCAAUUCUAAGAUUUCUUCCUUUCAAACUACGAAGACUUUCCAACUUAUCGGUACUUCAGAAUGCUUUAUCAACCAAUAUUUCCAGGUUUGAGAUGGCAUUAAUUCAAGCCAAUAGUGUGUUUCUGCCAUGGAUUUACCCUUUCCCUAAGACGACUCCAUCCAAUCUUCAUGAGGAGAGUCCGACAGGUUGGCAUCAGAUCCAGACAUCGAGAGUAGCGUCUGUAUAGCUUCCUGGCUUCAGCGUCUCGUGCAGAAGUUGUACAAUCUCAGCACAUGUUGGGAGGAAACAAACACUGAAAUAACAUGCAUUAGUUUGGUGAAGUGGUCCAUUAAAAAUCAGGGAUUUAGAGGAUGUCUCUCAUAAUAUAAAAAACCAGGGUGGCCACAAAAAUGCAUCUCAGAUCAUUAAUUAAUGAGGGAUUCAAAUAAGGAAAUACUUUAAAAUUAGUUAUAGUCACUUUAUCAACAAAAUUGGAGUUUCAGUGUACAAUGUACAUGUAUUUAAUGCUUACAAGUCAAGAGCUACAGUAGUGGCCACCCUGCUAGUACCCACACAAAAAACCUGCGUGUAAAAAUCUAGCUGUACUUUGCCUUGUCUAAAGCACCUCACCACUUAAAGAUAAAUAUGUACGCUGCGGAAAGUAAGCCAAUUUUGUCAAAUAAAAACUCCACAAUGCAUCGGUGCGAUUCCAUGAGAAAGUGGACCAAAAAAACCCACCCUAUUUUGGGGAGGCUAAAAUUAUCAUUUUGGCUCAUUGUUUUCUCCCGCAAAAUACAAGUGUUAUCAUGAGUCUUUGGUUUUCAGGCUCAGAGGAAGAUGAACAUUUUAUGCCAAGGCAAGAGUUUUUUUUUGUGAGAUUAUAAUUUGUUAUGUUUUAUCCUGUACCAAAGAUAGGUGGACAAACUGUAACACAAGUUACCAAAAUAUAUCUCCCUAGAGAUUUUAUGAUUGAUUUUUUUUUAAAUAAUUGUUAUGGCAGCCUAUGACUUACACCCUAAUGAUGUAAGAACACUGAAAAGAUUUUUCAAACAGUUAAAAGUAUGAGGAAACUUUCAAGUGCAAGGCACUUAAUUUUGUUUCCAUGUCCAUUUUGUGUAACGUGAAUUACCAAUAAAAAAAAAGUGAUUUCCAAAACAA